rnacentral:misc_RNA from 1 species
GAUGAAGAACGUAGCGAAAUGCGAUAAGUAAUGUGAAUUGCAGAAUUCAGAGAAUCAUCGAAUCUUUGAACGCACAUUGCGCCCGCCAGUAUUCUGGCGGGCAUGCCUGUUCGAGCGUCAUUUCAACCAUCAAGCCCCCGGCUUGUGUUGGGGACCUGCGGCUGCCGCAGGCCCUGAAAAGCAGUGGCGGGCUCGCUGUCACACCGAGCGUAGUAGCAUACAUCUCGCUCUGGGCGUGCUGCGGGUUCCGGCCGUUAAACCACCUUCAUAACCCAAGGUUGACCUCGGAUCAGGUAGGAAGACCCGCUGAACUUAAGCAUAUCAAUAAGCGGAGGA